UAUUUUUUUUAUUCUGCUCACAGCUAAUUGCACUUGAUGUCUCCUCGCUCCUGCACUGGAAGAGACGCUGGAUAAUCAAUUCCUUUUUGCCUUUGCCAAGCCUGAUUUACCAGACCUUUAUCAAAUCCUCUUUCAGCCGUCUUUUCUCCAGCAGGACAAGUCCUUGUCUUCUCAGUCAAAGGCAGAGUUUCCAGAAGCACCACACUGUGAUGGGCAAUACAGAAAUGUCUGCUCUUGGAUCCAGCUGAUAAAAUGUCCCAGUCCAGGAGGUUCUGCACUGCUACAAUCCAAGGCAAGAUCCUCUAGCCUGAUGACAACGUAACAAGAAGCAUCAUCUGAACAAUGAAGAAGACAUGGAUUGGAAAAGAUCCUUGGGCAUGUGACAGAAAUAAAUGAUUCAGGGGGAUGGGGUCCUUGCUGAUGUUUGGGCUGAAUCUUACUGCAGAAUAAGGAAAGACUUCCAUGGAACAUUUCCUGCAGGAUUUGUUGGUACAUACAUCUUUGGCUGGAGCAGCAUCCCUGUGAAUUACAGCAGACAUCUUGCCUUGCCUUGGCAACUCCAAACCUUUAAUGCUUUACUGUGUACAGAUUCCUCUAUUUUAACAGCUGACACUAAUCUUGGGUCAAUAAAAGGGAUGGUUUUCCUCAAUGCUUUUCUCCUGAUCAUUGUUCUUUUGUUCAUAAACACACAACAUUUGCUGUUGCAGGAACCAUGGGGUGCAAUUGCUCAGAUUGCCAUUGAGAACUGAGGCUAUUUGGUCCCUGAGUUAAGAAAACAAUUAAGUAUGUACUUAAGCUUAAUUGACUGAGUGAAAAUAAGGUGUCUGUUGGAUUUCAUUGAAUAGUGAAGCUUAAACAUGCCGAUGUUCUCUUGGGUUACAGCUUUGGUUACCCUCUUGGUAUAGCACAGCAUUGAUGGAAAUAAAGGUUUCAUGCACACAUUUUUGCCA
rnacentral:lncRNA from 1 species